GACGAACGCUGGCGGCGUGCUUAACACAUGCGAGUCGAACGCUGAAGCUUGGUGCUUGCACUGGGUGGAUGAGUGGCGAACGGGUGAGUAAUACGUGAGUAACCUGCCCUUGACUCUGGGAUAAGCCUGGGAAACUGGGUCUAAUACUGGAUAUGACAUGCCACUGCAUGGUGGUGUGUGGAAAGGGUUUUACUGGUUUUGGAUGGGCUCACGGCCUAUCAGCUUGUUGGUGGGGUAAUGGCCUACCAAGGCGACGACGGGUAGCCGGCCUGAGAGGGUGACCGGCCACACUGGGACUGAGACACGGCCCGGACUCCUACGGGAGGCAGCAGUGGGGAAUAUUGCACAAUGGGCGGAAGCCUGAUGCAGCGACGCCGCGUGAGGGAUGACGGCCUUCGGGUUGUAAACCUCUUUCAGCACGGAAGAAGCGAGAGUGACGGUACGUGCAGAAGAAGCGCCGGCUAACUACGU
rnacentral:rRNA from 1 species